AAUCAGGCCACAGUCGCCAUAGUACAUCAUCCUUGCCGCCAUUCACUUGUUUUAUUUCGGCUUGAGAAUUUGACUAUUUUAAGAGGUAAUUGUGGGUAUCCAGAAAAGAUGGAAGUGCAGUUUGUUUGGAAAGCGUGACAGCCUAGGCAACAGUAACUAAGGGGAGGUGGAUCUCAACUUUCCACGUCUUACCGUAGAAAAGACAGGCGGAAAACCGGCGAGACCAGGUCUGCGAUUCCCGACUUCAACAGGAACAAGGACAGCCACUGUGGGAUGAGCUUGAGGGUCGCCAGGUAGUGAGUCUUCUUGGCUGAGACCUGUAGGACAGCGCAGAAGGUCCUCUACAGUACAGGACGCUGUUUCCUUUGAGAUUUCCGAGCCAGCAGGUUUUUACCUUCAUGAUCUGGAAGAAAGUCUCGAUGGCCUCCUUGUCGUCAGGGAAUUGCUUCAUGAGGCCAAUCUGGAUGGUGUCAAAGUGCUGGUUCAGCUCCUGGAACUCCAGCUGGCCCUCAGACAGCUGGUCAAAUAUGAUGCGGAGGAGGCUGUUCUCAUGGAGCUGACCGAUGUAGUGGAGGCCUGGAGGUCGCAUCACAGGUCAAGGGCUGGAAAGCAAAGGUGUGACAGCAGCCUCCGGCCUGGUCGUGCUGUUCCAGAACCAGAACCUUCUUGCCCGCCUUGGCCAGUGUGGCGCCCGCCGCCAGGCCGCCGAUGCCGCUGCCGAUCACUACGACGUCCAGGUUCUGGGGCACCUUGUCGGGGCUGAAACCUGCACACACGCGGGUUACAUAAGCAUCAAUUCCGGACAUUGGUAAAAAAAACAAAACAAUCUUAUCACAAAUUGCAUAAUUCAGUAAGUCAGUGUGUUACAGUUUGAAGGUUCAUGUAGUGUUAUCCUGUCGCUUGUUAACUCUAUUUGAUGGUAUCUGUAAAGUCAUAAUUCAAUUAUAAUAAAAUGCACAAGGUUGUAAUUGCGCUCGUUUAGUGUGACCUAGAUAACAGGUGGUUUCGAUAAUAGAUACAGGUCAAGUGAACACUAUCUAGCACAGUGAGUAAGCAUGAGUUGCUAACUCUAUAUAAAUACUCUAUAUAUGAGCAAUGUGUACUCACGCAGGACGCUAACUGCGAGUAGCAAUACAUCGUCUUCCAGGAAAAGUCAGGAAACUUUUUGUAUUGAUGUGAAACAUCAUUUUUUUGUUUAAAAUGGUUACUAAAACACACAGAUUUUUAAGAUACUGCACUAGCUUGUCAUUGCAUAGUAGCCAGAUGCUAAAUGGUAAAGCUAUGUUCCACGGCUUAGCUUUGCAUAAUCCUCGAUACAAAAAUACAGAAGAAGAAUUAAGAAUUAAUAAGAUUAUUAAUUUUAGGUUUAUUUUUAUUUGUAAUAAGAAAACAUUAUUUUUAUUUUUUUUUUCUAAUUUAAUAAUCUUAAAUAAAAUAAAUUAAGUUAUAUUGAUGGAGACAGUCAUAUGUAUGCAAAUAUCUAAUAGUGUAUUUAUUGCAGAUAUUCAUAGUAGACACUGUUACUAUACACAAGUGCAGUACCUUGCUUGAUGACUUUGUCCCUCUUCUUCUGGUCAAACUCCCGAGGUCCAGGAGGCCUGACUGAGUCCAAGGAGAAAGGACUGGGCUUCCCAAAGAGGUACCAGUAGGUGGCCCCCGCCCAGACCACCAGCCACGCUAUGAAGAUGAAGAGCCACAUUUUGAAGUGCAGUAGAGUCACGACUACAAGGUAACAAGUUGAACUGAAGUGAAUGCUUGCCCCCCUCCGAAGGAUCCUUUUAUCGCAGCCAAGGUGUUCCACGAGGGGGGGCGGAGCUUGACACUUAACCCCAGUCGUGUCAUAACAAGCAAUAAAGAUAGCAAGACCCGUCUUUUGGUAGGACUUUCACACCAUUAUGGCUCACACAUAGCUUCUUUUUUUAAUGACCAUUAUAUUUAUUCAUAUUUCUGUCAUUUCUAUACCCGGCUCUCGUCCAUAAAGAAAUAUUUGAUGCCCAAGAAGGUUGCAACACAUUUUGUUUUGCUCCUGUGUGAUUUUAGAAUCCGUCCCGGUAGAUUAGAUAGACCCUCAACGACGCUUAUCUGAUAAGGCAAUUAAGAUAACGAACACAUUGCUCAUGAGUCAGGCUAGACUUUAUACACGCAGCAAUCAACUUUACCACAAAUAUGAAAUAAUAUUGCUGCACGAUAAGGAGGCGCUGUCGGCAAACGUAUUUUGCUUUAUGUGCUGCUAAAAUCACCACCUCAUGUCACCAUAACCCUUUGGUGGCAGCAUUAUCAUACGCAACAAUUAAUAUGUGCAAGAGUGCUAGUCAAAGAUCCUCUAUAUAUGGUAGGACUACUGCCGUUUAAGCAACUACAGCAAAAAGGCUGGUCAAAGAUCCUCUGCAUGGCUAAGUUGCUGUUUUUUUAAGAAUUUACUACCAACCGUUUGGUAGUAGACAUAACACUCGUACAGUCACAUACGCUCAUUAUAUUGCGAGUCAAAUAUUGCUCACUCAAUAUGUCAUAGUUUUUCAAAAUAUAAUUAAUAAAUGAUGGCUGUUUCAUGGUUGACUAUGGCCUAUAAUUAGUCAGAAAAUAUUGAAAGACAAGUUAAAGGUGGCGUUCUGGUCAGUUGGGGGAAAAAAAAAAAGGUUAUCCUCUCAUUCUGUGUGGAAGUGGUAAGUUUUUGGCUCCCUUUGUCCUUCCCCAACUCCGGUUGAAGAGGCUAACUUGUAGCUAUGUGAGCGGUGCCCAUCUGUUAUGUCUUUGCAGUUAUCCCCGUGGCCUGCACAAUGUGACGUAAACAAAGAAUAAUGGGGUGGAUAAGUGACUAUAGGGUUGUUAUUUCAUGUCUACAGGGCUCUAAUCGUGUUAAAACACAUUUAGAACGUUCUAAACAGGGUUUUAUGCUCUAAAAUUUUUAGUGUGUUAAUAUUGAAGCAUACUUCACAGAAAUUCACUUAACAAGGUUAGGUCUGGGACCAAUUAACUGCGAUAUUGGUUUGAGGAUAAUUGUUUUUCGCAUCCACAGCAAAAAAAAAAAAACACUAAAGACGAGUGGAAACACUGGUCAAAUAUCCCCUUUCUGAUCAGAUGACUGCUGUUUUUAAAGGUUCUCCUUGAAAAUGGCUGGUCAAAGAUGCUUUAUAUGGCAGGAUUACUGCUCUGCUGUUUUUAAGCGCCUACUGUAAAAAAGCAAGUCAACGAUCCAUUAUAUGACAGGACUACUGUUAUUAAGCAUCUCCAGACACAAAAUGCCAGACAGAGACAUUAGGACUACUAAUUUUUUUUUACUAGUAUUUUACUAGUAGUAAAGUAGCAGAUGUAAACAAGAGCACCAAGCAAUCCUUCAACACAACCUUUGGCCCGUUUAAGGACAGCAGGGACCGUCAGGAGUUAAGUAAGACCGUCAUUCCCAACCAUAAAACCCUACAAGUGGGUCACUCCAUGGACUCAAGUUCUAAAGGUGCUAAUGCAACACAUGUUACUCAGGGUCACAGUACUACAGCGGAAAAAACUGCACCUUGUGUACUCAAGUGACAUAUUUUCAUUGAAGUGCACAACAGUGCAGUACUUUGUAUAAAAUGCUUGAAAACACAGACGAUACACAAAGUGUCAAUUGGCACACUUGCUGAGAAGUGAGGCAAAAUGCAGUUCUUGGAGUACUUCACAUUGCCGCACGGAGCACAAACUCGCACAAGCGGAUUUCGUGCAGGAAGUAUAACCCGGCCUCGGUCGUAGGCUGGUCUGUAGUGCAGGGUUAUUUUAAGGGCUAUCUGACUAAAUGCACAAGAAUAGUUCUUGAGUCUGAACUGGUGUGAAUGAAACACAGGACCACAGGUGCUUUUCAGUCAGAUUAUAUAUUGUAAAUGGGGAGGGGGGUAAGGUGAACAAAAUGACAACCAAAAGCAAAUUUUCACAAAACAGAGGAUCACAGCAAUCUUUGUCAAGUAUCUGGUAUAACUCUGGGUCUCUGGGAUCACGGUGGAUUUAGGAACUCCACUGUGGUCCUCCAUCAUUUAAUCCACUAUCCACAGAGUCAAAAGGAAAGACAGUCCUACCCGUUCGCUGCCACUUCUGAAGGGCUUCCUGGCUUGGUGCCGAACCAAAGCGGUCUAUAAAAAAACCUGACCUGUACAGGCCAGAAACAGGCAUCAACAUGUCAGUCAAAAUGUACCGCUAAACAUUCCAAACAAUUACAUUUCCAAUUCAAGAUGGCCGUAGUCAAUUUACACUAACAGUUCAAUUUAUGUGGCAUUCAUCAAUACGUUUAGCAGUUUGAGAUAUAUAAAUACACAUGUAACGUCCGCAGACAUGGCCGGUGAAAGGGAAACGCUUACCGCAAAGUUGUUUUCUUUAGGUUUGAUUUCCGCCGCUUGUUGACCAGCCACAGCAGGAGCCGCUGAUUGCCUACACCUGCUGGCACUUUAGGGUUUCCUUGCAGCAACCACAGCCAAUCAGGAGGGGACCUCACGUCAGCUGACCAAGUCACAUGACUGCUCCUCAUUAGUGUCGUGACAUGACAUGGGUCACAUGUCACCGCAACAAAUUUUGCUGGUUGAGAAUUUUGCUAUUAAUUAUCGACAGAUAAUUAUUAUUAAAAUAUAAAUUUUAAAUAAAACCUUUUCAAAUCCAAAAUAAUUUUGACCUUUUUAAAAGAAAAAAAUGGUUAAUAUUACCAUUCAAAGAUGAUUGUGUCUUGUCACGUUUGAGCCACCAGGUGGUUCUCAAGUGUAGUGUACCUGUGUGAGGCGUACCAUAUUGGCUCGGCGGUGUGUCACCGCGUUUGACACCACAAUUCCUACUCAAGGUGUCAAAAGUACACACAGCAACGCAAUAGGUGGAUAAAAAAAGACAAUACACUACCAACGUAUAAUGCAGAAUAUUAACAAACUACCAUGUGAGCUGCAGACAUUUCCAUUCAUAUUCGCGUCUGCUUGCUAACUGCUAGCACCCCGUGUCGCCCCGCUAACUGGCACAAAGAGGCUUAAUCCCUGAGAAGAUGCUCACUCUCUUUUCAUAUCGAGCCAGUGAAUCCUCUUGUCAUCCAGCCUGUGUAGCACAGAGAGACUAACAGAUGGUGCAUUCACACAGACACUUCUACUGCAUUAUGCUCAUUUUUUGGCCUGUAUACUCAGUAUACUGUAUACUCAGUAUAACUAAAGUGUACCAAUGGAAAUAUUUCAUUUGACAAACAGAAAAUGUGUCAUUUUAGCUAGUUAGCAGAUACGUUUCGAUUAGCUGUCCGGCCUCUUGUUGUUAGGCGGAAUUUGUAUGAGCCACAAUCAUUUCUGCCCAAAAUAUUAAAAAGAAAACUGCACACUCUUGCCUGGAAACACAGAGGACAGGGAGAUCUGGCAGGAACAGGAAGUCAGACAACCAAAAACACUAUUAAUAAUUAAUACAGCUCGCACGGUUAUUUGUUAUCUGAAUUGCUGUUAUAUGAAGUAUAAAAUAAUAAAAGAUACAGUAUAAUUACCCUAGCUAUGCCCCCUGAUGGCCGUAGUGGGGCACUACAAGUAAAGACCUGAUAAGAGGACAGUAAUUGGAUGGGUGACAGGAAGUGUCACCGAGGCAACACACGACUGCAGCUGCAAGGAAAUCCUAUUAGACGUUUAACUAAGCACGUAACCUGCUUUGGGCGUCACAUGAAAGAGCAAUACGGACAAAAAAAAAACAAGGUCAGGGCGCGUUUUUGUUGACGCUAUUUGCAUUUAAUUACAAAUGGACAAACAUUAGCGUAGACACGCCGCUGACCUAACCAACACGCUGGCUACUGUACACGUCGUCUGCAGGAGUUCUACACCGGAACCUCUUGUAGAAAACGCCCCCACUGUGCUAUGUGACCACGCAGCCCCCCUUGUCGCCCUUGUAGGGGUUCUUGUCAUCGGGAACGCCCUUGAUGAGCGGGUCGUUGGGCAGCAGUGCCUCCACGUAGGAAAUGGUGUCUGUGCAGUUGGCACCCACCUGCCCACAGAAACGAGAGCAUUCAUUGGUGGAAAGAGGGAAAGAAAGAAAGAUAACAUGCAACGUUGGGAGCAGAAGUAGACUCACCGGUGUCCUGGGUGUGCUCACUUCCUUCUUCAGCUGGUCCAGUUCCAUCUUCAGGAUGUCUUUAUCGGACAUAUCCCGAGCCAUCCUGGCUGCAGAGAGAACCGCAACAUCCUCAACUCGUAUGACGCUUAGCUACCAUCACCAAUCACCAGCAGGAAUAUUAUAUUUACCUGUUGAAUGGCGGGAUCCCCAACAAGAUAAGAAACAAGGGUCCUAAAAGCUCAUGGACUAUCCCGCUGGCCCGCUGGUCUCCUCCUCCUCCUCGCACUGACUGACUUCCUCUUGUCCCACUGCUCUUCAUCCCGGCUCAUCCCCUGGCUUGGACCUGAUGUCACCAAUCCCCCGUGAUUGGAUUAAACAAUCAGGAGCCAUGACUUAGGAGCUAGGUGAGGAGGAAGUGAAGAGGGCGCAGAUUUGUAGGACACACAGUGGAGAAAGUGUUCCCGAAAAAUGACAUGAAUAAAGACGUAUGAUUGGAUAUUACGCUACAGUCAUCCCUUGUUGAUAUCCGUUAUAUUGGAUGCAAUGUUAAUAAAUGGAAUAUUUUGGUAGUUGGAGCAUAAAAAAACAUCUUUAUACCUUUCUAAAUACGCCUUUUAACAUUAUUAGAGCCUUGUAGACAUGAAAUAACAGCCCUAUAGUCACCAUUGCACUUCCGAUAACCCACGGCCUACUUCGUAAAGGACUCUUUGAAGGUCAUGAUGGUCAUGGCUGAAUGUUUUGUCAUUACUGCCACCUACUGACCACAAUACUACAUACAACUUGUACAGUAUUUCAAUAUGUUUUGACUAAUACUGUAAUACUCCAGAGUCCAGCACCAAACAGCCAUCGUUUAUUCAUCAUUCAUUUCUGAAAAAUACAAUAUUGUGAGCGCCAACUUAAUUUCCGUCAGUAAUGUCAGCUAACACAAAGCUAUAACAUGGAUGUGUUUUUUUUUUCUUUAUUAGCAUAUUAGGAUUAGCAUAUAUUGACCUUCAUUGGAUUAGUUUGAGCACAAAACACUGAAGACUAAGAGUAUCCAUAUAGUUCUUUGCAACAUAACAAUUGAUCCCGUUGUCACCUUAUAAGCCAUUUGACAGGAUCUGGGUUAGAGUCUUCCGCAGCAGCUUAAGUUGAGAGACGUCACUGUGGAUUUAGCAGCAAUGGAAACCUGAUAUAAACACCCAGCUCACUCAUUAAUUGUGCUAAUCGUGUAUUGUAACUAACACAUUCAUUAAAUUCAUUCAUUUAUUCAUUUUCUACCGCUUAUGCUAAAUUAAAAGGCUUUAUUCACAUGUUAAUCCUUUGCAUUUAAAUGUAAAGCUUCCAUAUCUUACAUGUAUUCAAUGGAGGAAAUUAUAUAUGUAAAGAAAACAAAACAACGCGGCUCACCUUAAUGUAAU